GAGACCCACGCCAACAGUUGCCAGCUCGUCCUCCGGGAUGGAGGGGACACUGUUGGGACCGCCUCUGCUAAAGAGGAGGAAGGAAUGGGCAACGGAAGGUCAGCAUGCCCCGAAUUAUCCGGGCUACACGCGGGCUACAAUGGGUGGGACAAUGGGUAUCGACACCGAAAGGUGAAGGCAAUCUCCUAAACCCAUCCUUAGUUCGGAUUGUGGGCUGCAACUCGCCCACAUGAAGCUGGAAUCCGUAGUAAUCGUGUCUCAAAAUGGCACGGUGAAUAU
rnacentral:rRNA from 1 species